AGGCGUCUGCUCAGCGAGAUACCCGCUCGCCGAGACUGCGUCGGGAGUCCUGAGCAAAACCAAGCCGCAAGCGCCCCGCGGGCAGAGGCGGGAGGUGGUUUUCUGCUCUGUCGUUCGCUGUAAAGAGCUGUGGAAAAGAUGCCGGAAUCCUGCGGACUUUCCACUGGAAAAUCAAAGAAAUCAAACUGGAAAAAGUGGCGCUGCUGACAUCAGACAAAAAGUAUCUCUUGGAGAAGGCAGAAUUGGCAGACGCUGGUGGAUGCUAGAGAAUCCCAUGAUAGGAGUAAGGUAACGCCUACUGUGUAAAUCCUUCACAAUGUACUAUAGCAAGAGGGGUUUCUGGACAGCCAGACCCUGCUGUCUGGUUUCUGAGGGAGCUACAUGUGCUGAAGAAGAGAUGGGGAAGGAGAAGAGCCAUCUCCAACAUGUGCUGUAGCCUGGGGUCGCUUCAGACACAGUGUCUCUCUUUGUUGGGAUACAAACUUGGAAGGAUUGCAUAGCAUUUCAGUAAGUGAAAAUGGUGUUAGCUGUGCAGACUGAACUGAGUAAGAGGGAAAUGAAAUUACUCAAAUAUACCCAUGUGUUGACAUACCAGACUCUACUAAUAAGAGAAUAAAUAUGCUGCUACUCUCAAAGACACUGAGAGUUGGAGCAUGGUGUGGGAAGAGCAAAAUACAGUCUGCCACAGAACAAAGUUCUAUAUAUGGCUAAAGUACCAGACAUUUGUACUUCAGUGCCACAUGGAGCCAGUGUCACUUGGCUAGAAGCUGCCAUGUUCCUGAGGACUAGACAGCAGUAUGAGGGCUGUCGACUGCUUUACAACCUACAUGGUCCCUGCAUUAUUUUGGGUGCUUGGAAUUCUGAAGAAACAAACUCUUGAACAAAUGGUCUUCAGCAGCAGAACCUUCCCUUGAUUUUCUGUUGUGCUGAACAGCAGACUGCUGACAUGCUGUUUUGAUAAGAAAUGCCACCAUCUGAUGUGGUACAAUCUGCAAUUUGUCUUCCACCUGUCACAAGGGCAGGCGGCAUCUGUCACCUUUACAGCUAGUGUAUUUGUGGCUGGUUAAACAGCAUUUGUUUAUCACAAAGUCACCGGAUGGAGCUGUGCCUCAUAGCACCACAGAUAAGUGGUGUAAAAUUUUACAAAAAAAAACAUGGCAUUUGAUUCUGAUAUUGCUAAUACUGGUAUUUAUUGGUAACUUGGUAGUAGCAUCUUCCCAUUGGAAACAGAACCUUGGAAAAACUCAAGUCGCACUCAUAGCAAUGUCUAGAGGAAAACACAUUUCAAAUCUCUGACUCCAGGACUUGAAGUGAAGCUGUCCAUGGUGAAUAUGGAGGAGAAGGUGAGGUCCUAAUUCGUGGCUUCGUGCGCUCCUUGCAGGUUCCUCUUGCUUGGACAAAGAGAAAAUCUAUCACAAACUGAAGAUGUCCUACAUCAUUAAUUGAACCAUUCUCUUCUAUGCAGUAGAAAGCAGCAAGAUAAACAUCCAGAAAGACUUUAUUUGCCUUAUUUUAAAAGGAGAGUGCUGCAUAAUAAGGGUAAAAGUGCAAAGCCCUGUUACUGAUCUGCUCUGAAGUCAAAACAGAGACCAGAAAGCCUCAGCAGCUCCUCUGAUC